rnacentral:rRNA from 1 species
UAGCGAAGGGGGCUAGCGUUGCUCGGAGUCACUGGGCGUAAAGGGCGCGUAGGCGGGCUCUUAAGUCAGGGGUGAAAGCCCCAAGGCUCAACCUUGGAAUUGCCUUUGAUACUGAGGGCCUUGAGACCGGAAGAGGUCGGCGGAACUGCGAGUGUAGAGGUGAAAUUCGUAGAUAUUCGCAAGAACACCAGUGGCGAAGGCGGCCGACUGGUCCGGUUCUGACGCUGAGGCACGGAAAGCGUGGGGAGCAAACAGG